rnacentral:misc_RNA from 1 species
GCCUACGGACGCCCAAGUGUCCCUGGCCGCCUACACCCACUAUACAUCCACAAACCCGUGUGCACUGUCCUUGGAAAGGGCAUUUGGAGAGAAAAAGGAAGAGAGAACCCCGAACACUGCGAUCCAUCCCGGCGGACGUUCAUCUCUGGCUUGGUCUCUCUCAAGCCCUUUUAUCGCUACAAACCAGUAUGUGGCCUAUGAACGUGUAACUACUCCACGACCGUUGUUGGCCGACAAACUAUACCAAAAAACUUUACAUGCGAUCUUUUGUCUUCUCGCCUUUACCUUCCAAUGGACUUAAUUAGUGCAUCACUUGCGUUGAGACACCUUGGGCCC